rnacentral:misc_RNA from 1 species
AAGUCGUAACAAGGUUUCCGUAGGUGAACCUGCGGAAGGAUCAUUACCUAGAGUUGCGGGCUUUGCCUGCCAUCUCUUACCCAUGUCUUUUGAGUACCUUCGUUUCCUCGGCGGGUCCGCCCGCCGAUUGGACAACACUUAAACCCUUUGUAAUUGAAAUCAGCGUCUGAAAAAACUCAAUAGUUACAACUUUCAACAACGGAUCUCUUGGUUCUG